AGUCUUCCAUAUGUUAUCAUUUCUUCGAAUGAUCUGACCUGCUCAAGUCCUCUUCUUAUUCUUGAUCGGCAGUAAUACUUUCAUCUUUCUGCCUCCCCACCCAGCAUCCAUCUGGUGGUGCCUGAGGACCGUGCGUGGGGCAGCCCGCUGCCUAAUGGGAGUGUGAAUGGUAUGGUAGGUCUUGUGGCGCAUCGCCUGGCCCACGUCGCUCUCAAUGAACUCACUAUCACAGAGCUGCGGACGACUGUGGUGGACUUCACGCAGCCGUAUGUGCAGGAGGGAACAGCACUCAUCUCUCGUGCACCUAAAGAGCAGGAGAAGUUAUUGGCGGUCUUCUCACCCUUUUCUCUGGCGCUGUGGGCGGUGCUGUUCAUGGUCACUCUACUGAUGGGCAUCCUGAGCUUCCUGUUGAGUCUUGGCCAUGACUGCUGCACCACUGCCGUGCCUCCUCCCUGUACCACCCCUCCGAAGGCAGACCAGGAUCAGCUUCCUGCCCUCUGCUCUGCUCAAGUAGUAUCACUUUCAAUAUGCAAAACAAAGAAUGCAUCAUGUGACAGAAAUAUGGUUAGUAAUGUGGCAACUUGCUCAUGUAGAAAGACAUGUGAUCGGACACAGAUGCCAGAAAAAGACAAGUGAUCGGACACAGAUGCCGGAAAGAACACUAUCCAAAUAUUGUUUCAACAUCUUCCGUACUCUUGUGCUCCAAGGAAACUUGA